AUACGGGGGGGGCGAGCGUUGUCCGGAAUCAUUGGGCGUAAAGGGUGAGUAGGCGGGAUGGUAAGUCAGAGGUGAAAGUCCAGGGCUCAACUCUGGAUCUGCCUCUGAUACUGCUGUCCUUGAGUGCGGGAGAGGGAGGUGGAAUUCCCGGUGUAGCGGUGAAAUGCGUAGAUAUCGGGAAGAACACCAGUGGCGAAGGCGGCUUCCUGGCCCGCAACUGACGCUGAAUCACGAAAGCGUGGGGAGCAAACAGGAUUAGAAACCCUAGUAGUCC
rnacentral:rRNA from 1 species